rnacentral:rRNA from 1 species
UACAGAGGGUGCGAGCGUUAAUCGGAAUUACUGGGCGUAAAGGGUGCGUAGGUGGUUUAUUAAGUCAGAUGUGAAAUCCCUGGGCUUAACCUAGGAAUUGCAUUUGAAACUAGUUGACUAGAGUGUGGUAGAGGGAAGUGGAAUUUCCGGUGUAGCGGUGAAAUGCGUAGAUAUCGGAAGGAACAUCGGUGGCGAAGGCGACUUCCUGGUCCAUUACUGACACUGAGGCACGAAAGCGUGGGGAGCGAACAGG